rfam:Hordeum vulgare subsp. vulgare, WGS project CAJW01000000 data, contig: morex_contig_1575170
UGGACCGUGAGGAUUUACUGAUGCAUAAUCCAACACUUGAUCCGAGGCCGGCCUGUGCCGUCCAUUGAUGUCAUCUUUGCAUCUGAGUCCAU